rnacentral:rRNA from 1 species
GCGAUCAUACCAGCACUAAUGCACCGUAUCCCAUCAGAACUCCGAAGUUAAGCGUGCUUGGGCGAGAGCUGUACUAGGAUGGGUGACCCCCUGGGAAGUCCUCGUGUUGCACCU